GGGGAAAGCACACAGUAUUGGUAGAGUGUCUGCUUUGCAUGCAAAAGGUCCUGGGUUCAGUUCCCAGCAUCCCCA